CACCUUCACUCGCGCAGCGUGGGCGGAGUCUCGUACCUGUGCUCGUGAGUGCUGUCCGCCAGGUUUGGGCAGUUUGGAUGCAAACAAAACAACGGAUUAUUUACCAAGAGAUAUGCAUGUAUGGACUCAUUUCGAUUAAACACUUCUGAGUGUUUACGCUGCAGAAAACUGACGAGCAACACUACAGUCCUUCAACAAACAGAUGAGGAAGAGGAGGAGGAUGGCGGUCCAGCAUACAAAGAGAAAGGUGCAGCAAUAAAAGCUCCCAAACGAAGAUGUCACCGGAUUAAGAUGUGGAAAGACAUGUUACACCACCGCAACCAUAAAUCCUGAGUGAUUUGAAUAUGGGCAACAACCGAGGAAAAGUACUCACUGUUUCACUCAAAAAUGAUCCAUGG
ensembl:lncRNA